rnacentral:tRNA from 1 species
GUCGCAGCAGUUGCGGUGGUACCGGGUCGCUGGCGAGGGAAGUAGCCUUGCAGCAGACAAAAGUCUGUUGGGUUGCGCUGCAAUUAUAUGAAAAUAACUAUACAGCAACGGCGGGGAGCACGCCAGCUAAUACCGGCACUCGUGGCCAAAAGCGGUCCGCCGAAAACGAAAGAUACGUAGGAUUCGAUUGGAGAUAUUGACCCCUUCGCGGAAAACACGGCGGCUGAAUACGUGAAGUUCUGUAGUUUUUGUAUGACUACGUAGGAAAACAACGGUUUGUUUGGUACCAUGAACACAGAAAGACCAGGUCUACAACCAUAAAGACCUGCACUGUACGAGCUCCGAUUUCAACAGCGAAAGGAACAGAGAAUCAGAAGAGGAUGCACUAUUGCGAGGACCAAUACGACAUGAAUUAUCACCGAUUGUGCACUUACGCGAUAGAUCUUCCUUGAACUCAGACCGAGUUGUUUGGUUCGUCGCUUAGCAUGAACACCGAUCGGCAAGAUUGAAGUCGACCGUGCCCUGACUAACUGACAUUAAAGAGGUGGCAAACGAAAAGCGCGUGAGGACAAAAUGUAGAUCUCGAAGCACAGCGAGUUCAAUGGCAGACAGUUCAUCCGCCACUCGCCACAGGUAUGAGAUAGGCCGGUCUGGCAUAGCUAGAAAGCAAAAAGAAAGUCCACUAACGUCACAGGCUUGUUGGCGAGCUACAGAUAACAAGCCAAAAUAGUGACUAUAACAAUAUCAAUAUGGUACCGAUAGAGUACACUUGCCAACUGAUCCAUAAAUUCAUCUACCUUGCUACUAUUAAAAUAUAUUAGUUGAACAAAAUGUAUCGGUAUAAACAAGUAAUCCUUCAAUGGCGCACGAAAACGACAUCUGCCAAUCGUUGCCAACUUGCUCGAAUCCAAGUUGUCAAAUGCCACCUGUCCGACGACAUAAAUAUCUGUCAAUAUAUCACAGUGAGUGAAUUUUAAAUGUUGGUGAGGUAAGAGGCACUAGAAAACUUUGAAUAUGGGCUCCAGAACAUGAUCUCAUUAUGCAUCAUUUCGACAAAGCGAGAUUGUCACCGUAAUUAUUUAUACCAUGACGAACGAGCGGCUACAUAAGCGUGUGCGCAGUAAUAAACUAAUAGUAACUUCAAAGUUAUCUGUCGUUCAUUUCAUAACCCAGCAAUAGAAUCUCGGCCAUUUGGAACUUGAAGCUUGUCCUCUGUUGCCCCGGCAUAACACACACAAGCACUAAAUGCAUAAGUAAAAUAUACGUGAGCUAAAAUUUGGUGUUCCUGCCAGGGCUCGAACCUGGGACCUUCCGCGUGUUAGGCGGAUGUGAUAACCGCUACACCACGGUAACAGCCGAUAUUUCUCCCCGGUGCGUCAGAUCAACCUUCGGAAAUAAAACGAUACGUCCCCUUCUAACAAUCAAGCCUAAACGGUUAGUGAAUCAAAGACGUUGGCGCAGCCUCAUCUUAUACGCAUAUACUUUUCAAAAAAGCUCUCAUUGAGGUACUUGUCAAGGCUCAUAUACAGCUCCAUUGUUCUUUGUUUUACUAGACUGAUAUUGCGUAGCAAAUCCCACCUAACCGUCACAAGAUGCGUUCAACACUGGCUAAUUCAAAACGAUAUAACAAUCAAGCUAAGUUUCCAGCAAUGACACGGUCACAGUAUAGCGAGCCUUUAAUUUGCUGAACAUCAACGGAACAGAUAAAGCAAAAACAUAUGCUUUCCAGGUCCUGUUGCAAUUCGAGGGCCCAAAUACACAACGAACAUCUGCUUUUUUGUUUUUGAAAGUUUUUGAAAGUGACGCAGAACUAGCUACUUUGCCACACUUAACAUUAACACUUACGGAAA